CUGGAAUGAUGCAUCCUUUAGCCAAAUCAGACAAUGAUGUGCUCUAUGAGGUACCUUCUUUAAAGACUAUAACAACUGUUAUUACGGAGGCUCUAUGCGAUCUCUCCUAUCCAGUUGAUUAAGCUUUAACCAAGGUAUCUUGUAUGGAAGCGCAUCUCUCUGACGAUAUCAAGGAGAUUGGUUGUUUGCUGACCAGA